GGUCAAGUGAAGAAGCGCAUACGGUGGAUGCCUUGGCAGUCAGAGGCGAUGAAAGACGUGGUAGCCUGCGAAAAGCUUCGGGGAGUCGGCAAACAGACUUUGAUCCGGAGAUCUCUGAAUGGGGGAACCCAGCCAUCAUAAGAUGGUUAUCUUGUACUGAAUACAUAGGUGCAAGAGGCGAACCAGGGGAACUGAAACAUCUAAGUACCCUGAGGAAAAGAAAUCAACCGAGAUUCCCUUAGUAGUGGCGAGCGAACGGGGACUAGCCCUUAAGUGGCUUUGAGAUUAGCGGAACGCUCUGGAAAGUGCGGCCAUAGUGGGUGAUAGCCCUGUACGCGAAAAUCUCUUAGUCAUGAAAUCGAGUAGGACGGAGCACGAGAAACUUUGUCUGAAUAUGGGGGGACCAUCCUCCAAGGCUAAAUACUACUGACUGACCGAUAGUGAACUAGUACCGUGAGGGAAAGGCGAAAAGAACCCCGGAGAGGGGAGUGAAAUAGAUCCUGAAACCGUAUGCGUACAAGCAGUGGGAGCAGACUUUGUUCUGUGACUGCGUACCUUUUGUAUAAUGGGUCAGCGACUUAUUUUCAGUGGCGAGCUUAACCGAAUAGGGGAGGCGUAGCGAAAGCGAGUCUUAAUAGGGCGUCUAGUCGCUGGGAAUAGACCCGAAACCGGGCGAUCUAUCCAUGGGCAGGUUGAAGGUUAGGUAACACUGACUGGAGGACCGAACCGACUACCGUUGAAAAGUUAGCGGAUGACCUGUGGAUCGGAGUGAAAGGCUAAUCAAGCUCGGAGAUAGCUGGUUCUCCUCGAAAGCUAUUUAGGUAGCGCCUCAUGUAUCACUGUAGGGGGUAGAGCACUGUUUCGGCUAGGGGGUCAUCCCGACUUACCAAACCGAUGCAAACUCCGAAUACCUACAAGUGCCGAGCAUGGGAGACACACGGCGGGUGCUAACGUCCGUCGUGAAAAGGGAAACAACCCAGACCGUCAGCUAAGGUCCCAAAGUUAUGGUUAAGUGGGAAACGAUGUGGGAAGGCUUAGACAGCUAGGAGGUUGGCUUAGAAGCAGCCACCCUUUAAAGAAAGCGUAAUAGCUCACUAGUCGAGUCGGCCUGCGCGGAAGAUGUAACGGGGCUCAAACCAUACACCGAAGCUACGGGUAUCAUCUUAGGAUGAUGCGGUAGAGGAGCGUUCUGUAAGCCUGUGAAGGUGAGUUGAGAAGCUUGCUGGAGGUAUCAGAAGUGCGAAUGCUGACAUGAGUAACGACAAUGGGUGUGAAAAACACCCACGCCGAAAGACCAAGGUUUCCUGCGCAACGUUAAUCGACGCAGGGUUAGUCGGUCCCUAAGGCGAGGCUGAAAAGCGUAGUCGAUGGAAAACAGGUUAAUAUUCCUGUACUUCUGGUUAUUGCGAUGGAGGGACGGAGAAGGCUAGGCCAGCUUGGCGUUGGUUGUCCAAGUUUAAGGUGGUAGGCUGAGAUCUUAGGUAAAUCCGGGAUCUUAAGGCCGAGAGCUGAUGACGAGUUACCCUUUGGGUGACGAAGUGGUUGAUGCCAUGCUUCCAAGAAAAGCUUCUAAGCUUCAGGUAACCAGGAACCGUACCCCAAACCGACACAGGUGGUUGGGUAGAGAAUACCAAGGCGCUUGAGAGAACUCGGGUGAAGGAACUAGGCAAAAUGGCACCGUAACUUCGGGAGAAGGUGCGCCGGUGAGGGUGAAGGACUUGCUCCGUAAGCUCAUGCCGGUCGAAGAUACCAGGCCGCUGCGACUGUUUAUUAAAAACACAGCACUCUGCAAACACGAAAGUGGACGUAUAGGGUGUGACGCCUGCCCGGUGCCGGAAGGUUAAUUGAUGGGGUUAGCUAACGCGAAGCUCUUGAUCGAAGCCCCGGUAAACGGCGGCCGUAACUAUAACGGUCCUAAGGUAGCGAAAUUCCUUGUCGGGUAAGUUCCGACCUGCACGAAUGGCGUAACGAUGGCGGCGCUGUCUCCACCCGAGACUCAGUGAAAUUGAAAUCGCUGUGAAGAUGCAGUGUAUCCGCGGCUAGACGGAAAGACCCCGUGAACCUUUACUAUAGCUUUGCACUGGACUUUGAAUUUGCUUGUGUAGGAUAGGUGGGAGGCUUUGAAGCGUGGACGCCAGUUCGCGUGGAGCCAUCCUUGAAAUACCACCCUGGCAACUUUGAGGUUCUAACUCAGGUCCGUUAUCCGGAUCGAGGACAGUGUAUGGUGGGUAGUUUGACUGGGGCGGUCUCCUCCUAAAGAGUAACGGAGGAGUACGAAGGUGCGCUCAGACCGGUCGGAAAUCGGUCGUAGAGUAUAAAGGCAAAAGCGCGCUUGACUGCGAGACAGACACGUCGAGCAGGUACGAAAGUAGGUCUUAGUGAUCCGGUGGUUCUGUAUGGAAGGGCCAUCGCUCAACGGAUAAAAGGUACUCCGGGGAUAACAGGCUGAUACCGCCCAAGAGUUCAUAUCGACGGCGGUGUUUGGCACCUCGAUGUCGGCUCAUCACAUCCUGGGGCUGAAGCCGGUCCCAAGGGUAUGGCUGUUCGCCAUUUAAAGUGGUACGCGAGCUGGGUUUAGAACGUCGUGAGACAGUUCGGUCCCUAUCUGCCGUGGACGUUUGAGAUUUGAGAGGGGCUGCUCCUAGUACGAGAGGACCGGAGUGGACGAACCUCUGGUGUUCCGGUUGUCACGCCAGUGGCAUUGCCGGGUAGCUAUGUUCGGGAAAGAUAACCGCUGAAAGCAUCUAAGCGGGAAACUUGCCUCAAGAUGAGAUCUCACUGGAACCUUGAGUUCCCUGAAGGGCCGUCGAAGACUACGACGUUGAUAGGUUGGGUGUGUAAGCGCUGUGAGGCGUUGAGCUAACCAAUACUAAUUGCCCGUGAGGCUUGACCAU
rnacentral:rRNA from 1 species